UACGUAGGGGGCUAGCGUUGUCCGGAAUCAUUGGGCGUAAAGCGCGUGUAGGCGGUUUGUCGCGUCUGCUGUGAAAACUCGGGGCUUAACUCCGGGCCUGCAGUGGGUACGGGCAGACUAGAGUUCGGCAGGGGAGACUGGAAUUCCUGGUGUAGCGGUGAAAUGCGCAGAUAUCAGGAGGAACACCGGUGGCGAAGGCGGGUCUCUGGGCCGAUACUGACGCUGAGGAGCGAAAGCGUGGGGAGCGAACAGG
rnacentral:rRNA from 1 species